rnacentral:pre_miRNA from 1 species
AACUUUAGUGCCUCGAGGACAACAGAUAGAAUGGCCGCGGCGAUGGAGGAUUGCCCCCCCACCCCGAUGAGGCUGCCAUUCUAGCUGUUGUCGUCGAGGCACUAAAGU